rnacentral:rRNA from 1 species
GACGAACGCUGGCGGCGUGCCUAAUACAUGCAAGUAGAACGCAGUUGCGAACGGGUGAGUAACGCGUAGGUAAAUGCCUCAUAGCGGGGGAUAACUAUUGGAAACGAUAGCUAAUACCGCAUACUGUGAGAUGGACCUGCGUUGUGUUAGCUAGUUGGUGAGGUAAAGGCUCACCAAGGCGACGAUACAUAGCCGACCUGAGAGGGAGGGCGGCCCACAUGGGACUGAGACACGGCCCAAACUCCUUCGGGGGGGAGCAGUAGGGAAUCUUCGGCAAAGGAGGGAAGUCUGACCGAGGAACGCCGGGGGGUUGAAGAAGGGUUUCGGGGCGUAAAGCUCUGUUGUGAGAGAAGCGGUAACUAAACAGAAAGGAACGGCUAACUACGUGCCAGCAGCCGCGGUAAUAC